rnacentral:rRNA from 1 species
AUUGAACGCUGGCGGCAUGCCUUACACAUGCAAGUCGAACGGCAGCACGGAGCUUGCUCUGGUGGCGAGUGGCGAACGGGUGAGUAAUAUAUCGGAACGUACCCAAGAGUGGGGGAUAACGUAGCGAAAGUUACGCUAAUACCGCAUACGAUCUAAGGAUGAAAGCAGGGGACCUUCGGGCCUUGUGCUCCUGGAGCGGCCGAUAUCUGAUUAGCUAGUUGGUGAGGUAAAGGCUCACCAAGGCAUCGAUCAGUAGCUGGUCUGAGAGGACGACCAGCCACACUGGAACUGAGACACGGUCCAGACUCCUACGGGAGGCAGCAGUGGGGAAUUUUGGACAAUGGGGGCAACCCUGAUCCAGCAAUGCCGCGUGAGUGAAGAAGGCCUUCGGGUUGUAAAGCUCUUUUGUCAGGGAAGAAACGGUGAAGGCUAAUAUCCUUUGCUAAUGACGGUACCUGAAGAAUAAGCACCGGCUAGCUACGUGCCAGCAGCCGCUGUAAGAC